UAGUUGGUGGGGUAAAGGCCUACCAAGGCGACGAUCUGUAGCGGGUCUGAGAGGAUGAUCCGCCACACUGGGACUGAGACACGGCCCAGACUCCUACGGGAGGCAGCAGUGGGGAAUAUUGGACAAUGGGGGGAACCCUGAUCCAGCCAUGCCGCGUGUGUGAAGAAGGCCUUUUGGUUGUAAAGCACUUUAAGUGGGGAGGAGGCUUACCUGGUUAAUACCUGGGCUAAGUGGACGUUACCCACAGAAUAAGCACCGGCUAACUCUGUGCCAGCAGCCGCGGUAAUACAGAGGGUGCGAGCGUUAAUCGGAUUUACUGGGCGUAAAGCGCGCGUAGGUGGUUAAUUAAGUCAAAUGUGAAAUCCCCGAGCUUAACUUGGGAAUUGCAUUCGAUACUGGUUAGCUAGAGUAUGGGAGAGGAUGGUAGAAUUCCAGGUGUAGCGGUGAAAUGCGUAGAGAUCUGGAGGAAUACCGAUGGCGAAGGCAGCCAUCUGGCCUAAUACUGACACUGAGGUGCGAAAGCAUGGGGAGCAAACAGGAUUAGAUACCCUGGUAGUCCAUGCCGUAAACGAUGUCUACUAGCCGUUGGGGGAUUUGAUCCUUUAGUGGCGCAGCUAACGCGAUAA
rnacentral:rRNA from 1 species